rnacentral:misc_RNA from 1 species
CUAUAAAGCCUAACUUCUGAAUCCCAAAAAGUAGGGAAAUUGGUGAACGCCAGUUUACCCGUUGCAGCUUCGCAAGGUCUUAAUGUUCUGACUGCUAGAUAACCUGAUGAUCAAGCUACCAUGUCUCAAUUUCAGAGAAGCCUACCAAAGAUGGAUUUUAUAGACGACCACCACCCACCACUUAAAAUUAAUACUCGCCCACCACUUUGAAAUUAAUCCUUGGAUGGCUUGAGAAAAUACAAGUGUGAAUUUUUAAUUUUAUAAAAGUAAAAUUUCGUUUCAUAAAAUUGUAAUUCAUAUAUAAGUGAG